rnacentral:ncRNA from 1 species
GAUAACUUGCUUGUGGCAGCCAAGCGUUCAUAGCGACAUCGCUUUUUGAUCCUUCGAUGUCAGCUCUUCCUAUCAUUGUGAAGCAGAAUUCACCAAAUGUUGGAUUGUUCACCCACUAAUAGGGAACAUGAGCUGGGAUUAGACCGUCGUGAGACAGGUU